rnacentral:rRNA from 1 species
AUGGCUCUUUGACCUUACAUACAUAAAGAGUCUGACCUGCCCGGUGGUAAGAUACUAAACGGCUGCAGUACCCUGACUGUGCAAAGGUAGCAUAAUAAUUUGCCUUUUAAUUGGAGGCUAGUAUGAAAGGUUUGACGAAAGUAAAUCUGUCUCUUUUUAUGUUGAUUAGAAAUUAUCUUUUAAGUUAAAAAGCUUAAAUUUUAUUAGAGGACGAGAAGACCCUAUCGAGCUUAUAAAUAUUAUUUUAAAUGGCAAUUAUUGUUUAAAUAUGAGUUUAAUAGGUUAUUUUUAGUUGGGGCAACUGCGGUGUAUUAAAAGCCUCCGUUAUAGUUAUAAUUUGUGAAUGAUCCGACAUUGUCGAAUAAUGACUUAGUUACCGUAGGGAUAACAGCGUAAUUUUUUUGGAGAGAUCUUAUCGAUAAAAAAGAUUGCGACCUCGAUGUUGGAUUAAACAUACUUUAAAGGUGCAGGGGCUUUAUAAGUUAGUCUGUUCGACUAUUAAAUUUUU